GGCGCUGAGAUUGAGGUACUGGUUGGGGAAGUAGAACCUAACUAAAAAGUUUAUUUGGAACACUAAACACGGGAGUUACAAACAAAAGAAAAACUGCCACCUGGGAGAUGGCUGCUUUGAAUGCUGUUGGGUCGGAGGCAAGAUCACUUUCCGAAAUAAAAAAGAAAUGGGUUGAUGUUAAAAUCAGAGCCAAAAAACAAGUCACGGCUCACAGACAGGAAAUAUCUAUGACCGGAGGAGGACAAACCACUACUCAACUUUUACCACUGGACACCCACAUUGCCAGCAUAAUCGGAAACACAUCAUUAAUUGGGAUUAUUUUCCUGACGGAGACACAGCUACUCCCCCAACAGCUGUACCAUCGCCCAGUCACACAGCAGGUAAAAUAAAAAGCUGGACUGAGGUGUUUCAUAAACAUUUAUUCAGACAGAAUUGAAAUGAACGUGACAAUCAUGUGAUGUUUCUUCAAUAACUCAGGAACCUGGGCCAGCCCUGCCUGACCUCAGGAGCCGAAGGCAGUGGAAGAGCCGGAGGAGUUGUAGGAACAGGAGCAGCCUUGGCCAUCCAAUACCCAUUCGGUGUGUCCUGGGGGGCCGAGGGUUCUGACGGAGGCAGUGCUAAAAAAAUCAACAAGACAUCACAAAAGCAAUAAAUGAAAUAAAGGAUCAGCUUACCAACAUAGGAAAUACUUUACUGCAAAUGAAUGCGUCACUUAAACAGAUUGCUGCAUGCGCAUCACAACUGUUGAACAAAUAAACUUUGAAAUGUUGAAAUUAUUUGUCCAUCGCAUGCUUUCAUUCUGAAAUUUCUGUUUUCAAAGAUGGCUUAACAGGCAAAUUUACCUAAAAUCUCUGUAUGAGUCUCUCUCUUGUUUGAAUGGCAGCGGCAUUAAGGGGUGGGAAAGGCUCUGCGUACGGCAUGGGUUCAUCUGCGCGGGGGUGUUCCUGCAGAGGGAUGCUUUGUCUGAUGGCUAAAUUAUGCAGCACACAGCAAGCCAAGAUGAUGUGGCAGACUUUUCCAGGCUUAUACUGAAGUGUCCCCCCCGCGCUGGACAGGCACAGCCAUCGGCCUUUUAGCAGGCCCAUUGUGCAUUCAACGGCCGUUCUUGAGCACGCAUGGGCCAGGUUGUAAUGCUGCUCCUGCGGGGUCCUUGGGUUGGCUACGGGGGUCAUCAGCCAUGGCUUUAAUGGAUAUCCACGAUCACCUACAGCGAUAAUAUAGUAAACCAUACGCAGCCCAGAAAAUAAUAUCGAAAUGUUGUAACACUCACCAAUAAGCCAGCCAUCGUCAACAGCUCCUGCUUGGAGGUGCACACCCACAGAGCUGUUUUGUAAAAUGAAUGAGUCAUGCGUUCCACCAGGCCACCGGGCAACAACGUUUAACAGAUGCAUAUGUGCAUCACAGAUUAUUUGUGCAUUGAUUGAAUGAAAUCA